AAAGUAUGUUGAACAAAUGAAAGCUGCUAACUUAUCAUUUUAGCGGUUAAAUUCCGUUAAUACUUUU
rnacentral:tRNA from 1 species